GUAGAACUGAUACGAUUGGCAAUCGCGCGCCACCGUACUGUACGAUUAAAUUUACUCUCCUGAUAGAACAAUCACAAUAUUUUUGGUUCUGUUUAUAUCUCGCAAAAUUAGUGCAGUUUUUAAAAUUAGGAAUAUUUGCGUGCGAACCAUUAACACUAUUUUUAUUGCUGCCAAUCAAAGUCAAUAAAGUACCUAAAAAAUUGUUUGGCAGUGUUUUACCCGAUUUCCCUGUCGUGACUGUUGUCUCUAUCAUCGCGUUUCUAGUAACAAUGGAAAUAGUGGUAAGAAAUAUUUGAUAGAAUCACAGGAAUUCUACAUUUCUCGUUUUCUGCCUGUUUCCACCCUGCUCCAAGAGUAGAUCGAUGUGCAGGAUAUAUUACGAAUUGCUCAAUGUUUUCCGAUUUAUGCCCUGUAAAUCAUGAUUACAAUUUAACAACUGAACGCAUUCUGAUGAUUUGUUUUUAACUCUAGUAUCAUGACCACAAUGACCAACAACUAUUGCGAAAAAGGAGCACUUUAUAUCCAUGACGGUCAGACCUUGGCAAGAUCUAUUUUUAGACAUGCAGUAUCAAACUUUCCAGAUACGAAAUUUACACGUUAAUUACAUCGCCCGAUCGCUGUCUCAAGACAAACCGGCGCUUUUACCUGAAGUUUACUUUUCACCACAAAAGUGUUUAGGAUUCAAGUGUGUUUAAUUUUGCUUUGUAGUUUUGUUAAUGGCAGAACAAUAUUCUGUACCUUAAAUUAAUUCCAGUGUACUAGUUCCUUGAAAAAUUUAAAAAUACUAGUACCUUAAAAAAUUUCAAACUACUAGUACCUUGAAAAAUUUCAAACUACUAGUAGUUUGAAAAUGAAUAGUGAGCUUAAGCAAGUGACGUUUUUGACAACACGGACGUCGACCGGAAGUAAAGUUGACGUUUUCCACCAAUCACAGUCCUUGACCCAGUCUUCUGACGUUACUCAUGCCGUUCGUGUUGUCAAAAACGUCACUUGCUUAAGCUCACUAAUACUUAAUCAGGCCCGUUGACCCUGGGAGAUUUCAAAUCCUCCACCUGCUUUGAAGAUAGUUUUCUUCCAGUUUCAAAACACUGAUUAAACACAUGGGCGUACCGGGGUGGGCGGCAGCCCCCCCCCCCCAGUUUGUUGGGCAAACAAAGUCAGUCGGGCAAUAUUCGCUCCACAGUCGGGCAAUAUUGGCUUAUUAUAAAAAUAAAUGGGACAAAUUCUGUUAAUUUUGUGGGAAAUUCUGUCAAUUUUGUGGUCAAUUUUGUGAUGUGUUGAAAAUUUGUAUGAUGUUCCGAAAAAUUUUUGUAUAUCCGAAAAUUUUUUGGACCCCUAAAAUGAUACACUGACCGAAACGGGGGGGGGGGGAGGUCGCCAAAAUUAAUUUGUUACGGAAAAAAAAUUUCGGCACUGGUCGGGCACAAUCCGAAAAAGUCGGGCAAAUUUCGUUCCGCUCCCUAAUUUUUUCCUUCCGGUACGCCCACGAUUAAACAUUAAUUUCUUUUGUUUUCGGUUUAUAAAUUAUUAAUGAGUUUGAGAACACAAUUUCUCUGUCUCUAAGCAUGUUCAGCCAAACCACAUGCAAACUAACAAUAAAAAAAAACUGAAAAUAAUUUCGAAGUCAUCCUUCUUUUAUAGCUUAGUGAAAAUGUGCUAAGUUUUGUCUUUAGUUAAAAUAAGGGGCCGAUUACGUGGAGGUUUUCAGCCCGGGAUGAAAUUUCAGCCUGGCAAACAGGGAUGAAAUUUCAGACCGGGGCCCCUAUAAAUUCAAUAUAAUAUGAAUUUUACGAUUACAUGGAAAAAAUUUCGAAUUGCAAACGAAAUGCAAAAUAAAGCCACUUAAACGAUUGUUUUUUUAGCCCGGGCUGAAAUUAUUUGCGAUUACAUGGGAUAUUUCAUCCCGGUUGACAGGGCUGAAAUUCAGGCCGGGUUGAAAUUUUCAUCCCGGUUUAUGUCACCCAGGAUGAGAUUUUCAGCCCUGUCAACCGGGAUGAAAUAUCCCAUGCAUGUAAUUGCAAAUAAUUAUGCAACCACAGUCUUACACAAGUCAAAUAGUCGACUAAUUAAUCGGCGUUUUAAAUGCUCAAACAAGCGGAAUAUUGCCUUUCGUGAUAUCGUAUGAUUUCAGGCCGGGAUGACAUUUCAUCCUGGGUUUGUUUUAAUACUAGUUACAAGGAAUAAAUAUUGCUCUGACUAAAACUCAGCCCAGGUUCAAACUGCCCAUGUAAUCGUGAUGCUAUUUCGGCUCGGUUUACCGGGCUGAAAUUCAGCCCAGGCUGAAAACUCUCCAUGUAAUCGGUAUAAAAUAUACAGAAAUUAUCUCGGUCAUAGUACUUAGUCUUAAAUAAAGAAUGCUGUGACUGCUAAAACCAUGUAAAUUGAUAAUAACAGCCAUUCUUACGGAAAUGCAUUUUCGGGUUUAAUUCCCGAUGAAAAUAGCAACUAUUUAUGAGAAAAUAGCGACCGGAACUUCCGGAAGGAACAAAACACUUGUAGAUUUCAGUCACGCUAUAUGUCGAAAAUACCCAAUAUUCACGGCCUCCGUACGAACUCUAAAUACAAUAACCCAGACUAAUUUUUUUAUAUGUUCUAGAAGAACAUUUGAUUAGUUAAUGGCGUACGUUUCGUGUAGAAAAAAUCUGGGGCACUUAGUUAAAAUGGUUUUGGCGUGGCAACGGUAGAUUGCAAUUUUAGCUAUGUGUGAAUAACAUACGAUUCUAAAUAUCAGCUGUCUGGUUUUAAUUAAUAGUUAAUAUCAUGAUUUUAUACUCAAUCGAGUCUCAAACAUCUCUUCC